rnacentral:rRNA from 1 species
CCUACGGGGGGCAGCAGUGGGGAAUAUUGCACAAUGGGGGAAACCCUGAUGCAGCGACGCCGCGUGAGUGAAGAAGUAUUUCGGUAUGUAAAGCUCUAUCAGCAGGGAAGAAAAUGACGGUACCUGAUUAAGAAGCCCCGGCUAACUCCGUGCCAGCAGCCGCGUUCAUACGAGGGAUGCGAGGGUUAUCCGGAUUUAUGGGGUUUAAGGGGUGCGCAGGCGGUCUGUUAUGUCAGCGGUCAAAGCCCGGGCCUAAAUCGCGGCCCGCCGUUGAAACUGGCAGUCUCGAGUUGGAGAGAGGUAUGCGGAAUGCGCGGUGUAGCGGUGAAAUGCAUAGAUAUCGCGCAGAACUCCGAUUGCGAAGGCAGCAUGCCGGCUCCACACUGACGCUGAGGCACGAAAGCGUGGGUAUCGAACAGGAUUAGAUACCCGAGUAGUC